CCUACGGGAGGCAGCAGUGGGGAAUAUUGCACAAUGGGGGAAACCCUGAUGCAGCGACGCCGCGUGAGUGAAGAAGUAUCUCGGUACGUAAAGCUCUAUCAGCAGGGAAGAAAAAAAGUCCUUUGGACUUUGGACGGUACCUGACCAAGAAGCCCCGGCUAACUACGUGCCAGCAGCCGCGGUAAUACGUAGGGGGCAAGCGUUAUCCGGAUUUACUGGGUGUAAAGGGAGCGUAGACGGCAGCGCAAGUCUGGAGUGAAAUGCCGGGGCCCAACCCCGGAACUGCUUUGGAAACUGUGCAGCUCGAGUGCAGGAGAGGUAAGCGGAAUUCCUAGUGUAGCGGUGAAAUGCGUAGAUAUUAGGAGGAACACCAGUGGCGAAGGCGGCUUACUGGACUGUAACUGACGUUGAGGCUCGAAAGCGUGGGGAGCAAACAGG
rnacentral:rRNA from 1 species